GCGGGGCUGCCCGGUGCGUCAGGUACUUCAUCCCCGGGGCCAGUAAGCAACCUCUCGGGGGUUGGCUCUGCCGGGAUCUUGGUCUCGGUAUCCGGCGCCCACCUGCACACGCAGGCUCUGGGAGGAUUGAGACGCCAACGGCCAGGGCGGCUCCGCA
rnacentral:other from 1 species